GUAAAAAAUUUAUAAGAAUAUGAUGUUGGUUCAGAUUAAGCGCUAAAUAAGGACAUGACACAUGCGAAUCAUACGUUUAUUAUUGAUAAGAUAAUAAAUAUGUGGUGUAAACGUGAGUAAUUUUAUUAGGAAUUAAUGAACUAUAGAAUAAGCUAAAUACUUAAUAUAUUAUUAUAUAAAAAUAAUUUAUAUAAUAAAAAGGAUAUAUAUAUAAUAUAUAUUUAUCUAUAGUCAAGCCAAUAAUGGUUUAGGUAGUAGGUUUAUUAAGAGUUAAACCUAGCCAACGAUCCAUAAUCGAUAAUGAAAGUUAGAACGAUCACGUUGACUCUGAAAUAUAGUCAAUAUCUAUAAGAUACAGCAGUGAGGAAUAUUGGACAAUGAUCGAAAGAUUGAUCCAGUUACUUAUUAGGAUGAUAUAUAAAAAUAUUUUAUUUUAUUUAGUUCCGGGGCCCGGCCACGGGAGCCGGAACCCCGACCCCCGCAAGGGAGGAGUUCCGGGGCCCGGCCACGGGAGCCGGAACCCCGACCCCCGCAAGGGAGGAGUUCCGGGGCCCGGCCACGGGAGCCGGAACCCCGAAAGGAGAAAUAUUAAAUAUUUAUAAUAAUAAUAAUAAUAAUAUAUAUAUAUAAAUUGAUUAAAAAUAAAAUCCAUAAAUAAUUAAAAUAAUGAUAUUAAUUACCAUAUAUAUUUUAUAUGGAUAUAUAUAUUAAUAAUAAUAUUAAUUUAUUAUUAUUAAUAAUAUAUUUUAAUAGUCCUGACUAAUAUUUGUGCCAGCAGUCGCGGUAACACAAAGAGGGCGAGCGUUAAUCAUAAUGGUUUAAAGGAUCCGUAGAAUGAAUUAUAUAUUAUAAUUUAGAGUUAAUAAAAUUAAUUAAAGAAUUAUAAUAGUAAAGAUGAAAUAAUAAUAAUAAUUAUAAGACUAAUAUAUGUGAAAAUAUUAAUUAAAUAUUAACUGACAUUGAGGGAUUAAAACUAGAGUAGCGAAACGGAUUCGAUACCCGUGUAGUUCUAGUAGUAAACUAUGAAUACAAUUAUUUAUAAUAUAUAUUAUAUAUAAAUAAUAAAUGAAAAUGAAAGUAUUCCACCUGAAGAGUACGUUAGCAAUAAUGAAACUCAAAACAAUAGACGGUUACAGACUUAAGCAGUGGAGCAUGUUAUUUAAUUCGAUAAUCCACGACUAACCUUACCAUAUUUUGAAUAUUAUAAUAAUUAUUAUAAUUAUUAUAUUACAGGCGUUACAUUGUUGUCUUUAGUUCGUGCUGCAAAGUUUUAGAUUAAGUUCAUAAACGAACAAAACUCCAUAUAUAUAAUUUUAAUUAUAUAUAAUUUUAUAUUAUUUAUUAAUAUAAAGAAAGGAAUUAAGACAAAUCAUAAUGAUCCUUAUAAUAUGGGUAAUAGACGUGCUAUAAUAAAAUGAUAAUAAAAUUAUAUAAAAUAUAUUUAAUUAUAUUUAAUUAAUAAUAUAAAACAUUUUAAUUUUUAAUAUAUUUUUUUAUUAUAUAUUAAUAUGAAUUAUAAUCUGAAAUUCGAUUAUAUGAAAAAAGAAUUGCUAGUAAUACGUAAAUUAGUAUGUUACGGUGAAUAUUCUAACUGUUUCGCACUAAUCACUCAUCACGCGUUGAAACAUAUUAUUAUCUUAUUAUUUAUAUAAUAUUUUUUAAUAAAUAUUAAUAAUUAUUAAUUUAUAUUUAUUUAUAUCAGAAAUAAUAUGAAUUAAUGCGAAGUUGAAAUACAGUUACCGUAGGGGAACCUGCGGUGGGCUUAUAAAUAUCUUAAAUAUUCUUACA
rnacentral:rRNA from 1 species